AAAGUAACGGCGAGUGAAGCGGCAACAGCUCACAUUUGAAAUCUGGCUCUCGGGCCCGAGUUGUAAUUUGUAGAGGAUGCUUUUGGUGAGGUGCCUUCCGAGUUCCCUGGAACGGGACGCCAUAGAGGGUGAGAGCCCCGUCUGGUUGGACACCGAUCCUCUGUAAAGCUCCUUCGACGAGUCGAGUAGUUUGGGAAUGCUGCUCUAAAUGGGAGGUAUAUGUCUUCUAAAGCUAAAUACCGGCCAGAGACCGAUAGCGCACAAGUAGAGUGAUCGAAAGAUGAAAAGAACUUUGAAAAGAGAGUUAAACAGUACGUGAAAUUGUUGAAAGGGAAGCGCUUGUGACCAGACUUGGGCUUGGUUGAUCAUCCGGGGUUCUCCCCGGUGCACUCUUCCGGCUCAGGCCAGCAUCAGUUCGCCCUGGGGGAUAAAGGCUUCGGGAAUGUGGCUCUCUCCGGGGAGUGUUAUAGCCCGCUGCGUAAUACCCUGUGGCGGACUGAGGUUCGCGCAUUCGCAAGGAUGCUGGCGUAAUGGUCAUCAGUGACCCGUCUUGAAACACGGACCAA
rnacentral:rRNA from 1 species